rnacentral:rRNA from 1 species
UACGGAGGGGGCUAGCGUUGUUCGGAAUUACUGGGCGUAAAGCGCGCGUAGGCGGCUUUGUAAGUCAGAGGUGAAAGCCCGGAGCUCAACUCCGGAAUAGCCUUUGAGACUGCAUCGCUAGAAUCCAGGAGAGGUGAGUGGAAUUCCGAGUGUAGAGGUGAAAUUCGUAGAUAUUCGGAAGAACACCAGUGGCGAAGGCGGCUCACUGGACUGGUAUUGACGCUGAGGUGCGAAAGCGUGGGGAGCAAACAGG